UACGUAGGGUGCAAGCGUUGUCCGGAAUCAUUGGGCGUAAAGCGCGCGUAGGUGGCCAUUUAAGUCCGCUGUGAAAGUCAAAGGCUCAACCUUUGAAAGCCGGUGGAUACUGGAUGGCUAGAGUACGGAAGAGGCGAGUGGAAUUCCUGGUGUAGCGGUGGAAUGCGCAGAUAUCAGGAGGAACACCAAUAGCGAAGGCAGCUCGCUGGGACGUUUACUGACACUGAGGCGCGAAAGCGUGGGGAGCGAACAGG
rnacentral:rRNA from 1 species